AUUGAACGCUGGCGGCAGGCCUAACACAUGCAAGUCGAACGCGUGGCGGACGGGAGAGUAAUGUCUGGGAAACCGUCUGAUGGAGGGGGAAAAACUCUGGAAACGGUAGCUAACACCACAUACCAUCGGAUGUGCCUAGAUGGGAUUAGCUAGUAGGUGGGGUAAAGGCGCACCUAGGCGACGAUCCCUCGCUGGUCUGAGAGGAUGACCAGCCCCACUGGAACUGAGACACGGUCCAGACUCCUACGGGAGGCAGCAGUGGGGAAUAUUGCACAAUGGGCGCAAGCCUGAUGCAGCCAUGCCGCGUGUAUGAAGAAGGCCUUCGGGUUGUAAAGUACUUUCAGCGGGGAGGCGUUACCCGCAGAAGAAGCACCGGCUAACUCCGUGCCAGCAGCCGCGGUAAUUC
rnacentral:rRNA from 1 species